UGGGGAAUUUUGGACAAUGGGCGAAAGCCUGAUCCAGCAAUGCCGCGUGUGUGAAGAAGGCCUUCGGGUUGUAAAGCACUUUUGUCCGGAAAGAAAUCCUUGGCUCUAAUACAGUCGGGGGAUGACGGUACCGGAAGAAUAAGCACCGGCUAACUACGUGCCAGCAGCCGCGGUAAUACGUAGGGUGCAAGCGUUAAUCGGAAUUACUGGGCGUAAAGCGUGCGCAGGCGGUUUGCUAAGACCGAUGUGAAAUCCCCGGGCUCAACCUGGGGAACUGCAUUGGUGACUGGCAGGCUAGAGUAUGGCAGAGGGGGGUAGAAUUCCACGUGUAGCAGUGAAAUGCGUAGAGAUGUGGAGGAAUACCGAUGGCGAAGGCAGCCCCCUGGGCCAAUACUGACGCUCAUGCACGAAAAGCGUGGGGGAGCAAAACAGGAUUAGAUACCCUGGUAGUCCACGCCCUAAACGAUGUCAACUAGUUGUUGGGGAUUCAUUUCCUUAGUAACGUAGCUAACGCGUGAAGUUGACCGCCUGGGGAGUACGGUCGCAAGAUUAAAACUCAAAUGAAUUGACGGGGUCAUAGCUGUUUCCU
rnacentral:rRNA from 1 species